AGACAGAGGAUGCAAGCGUUAUCCGGAAUGAUUGGGCGUAAAGCGUCUGUAGGUGGCUUUUUAAGUUCGCUGUCGAAUACCAGGGCUCAACCCUGGACAGGUGGUGAAAACUACUAAGCUAGAGUACGGUAGGGGCAGAGGGAAUUUCCGGUGGAGCGAUGAAAUGCGUAGAGAUCGGAAGGAACACCAACGGCGAAAGCACUCUGCUGGGCCGACACUGACACUGAGAGACGAAAGCUAGGGGAGCGAAUGGGAUUAGAGACCCCAGUAGUCCUAGCCGUAAACGAUGGAUACUAAGUGGCUGUGCGUAUCGACCCGUGCAACGCUGUAGCUAACGCGUUAAGUAUCCCGCCUGGGGAGUACGUUCGCAAGAAUGAA
rnacentral:rRNA from 1 species